rnacentral:rRNA from 1 species
UACGUAUGGGGCGAGCGUUGUUCGGAAUUAUUGGGUGUAAAGGGCGUCUAGGCGGGAGAUUAAGUUAGAUGUGAAAGGCGUGGGCUUAACCCGCGAAUUGCAUCUAAAACUGGUUUUCUUGAGUUCGGGAGAGGAGAGCGGAAUUCUUGGUGUAGCGGUGAAAUGCGUAGAUAUCAAGAAGAACACCAGUGGCGAAGGCGGCUCUCUGGCCUAGAACUGACGCUGAAGCGCGAAAGCGUGGGUAGCGAACGGGAUUAGAUACCCGGGUAGUCCCUGAG